CCGGUAUUAGCAAUCUCAUCUAAGACUAGAAUUAAAUGAAACAAAUAUGGUACUAAAUUUAGUCCAAGCCAGUUCAAGCCAAGCCUGUGUACCAAACAACCCCCUAAAGAGCUAUGCUACCGUACUAUAGGUUAACAUUAGCAAAAUCCGUGGUUUUUCUUCAAUGGAGAAAAGACCUACACUUAAAAAGCAUAUAAAUGUAUUAUCCAUAAUUCCCUAUGUCCAUCACAGCGGCGUGGGUUAUCUCGCAGAAUUGUACCCGUUGAGUUGGCUAGCUACUGCUCUAGUGUUGUCACCACUUGCCCCCAAGUAUCUUUCGAAAGUGACGUUCACUUGGAAAUUUCCACAACUUCAUAUAUUUUUUCUCUUAAACAGAGAAAGGUCUUCUUUUUCCUUGUGAAAAAGUUUUGACUAAAUUAAGCCAUGCCAUAAUAAUUGGCGCGGAAAAAAAAGAAAAAAAAAAGGGGAUUAUGUUCAUUAUGAUGUGGAAGGGAAACACAAUGUAAUUAAUUAAACAAAUGUAAAAUGUUGGUAAGAAGAAAGGCCAAAAGAAUAAGAUAUAAAAAGGUAUAAACCAAAAAGAAAAGAAAAAAAAAACCCCCACAAGAAGAAAAUGGGAUUCGAUCCCAUUCUUUUUAAUUUUAAAUUGGAUAGUAGACCCCAUUCUUAGGUUAGAGAAGCAAUUGACCAAAAUUUUAAGGAUUUGUUGUUUGUGUGUGUAGCCAGCCACCACAAUAAUACUUUCAUAAUGCAAAAUUUUAUAUUGCUUCCUUAUGGGAUUCUCC
rnacentral:lncRNA from 1 species